rnacentral:miRNA from 1 species
ACGUCUGUGUAUGUGUAUGAACAUAGCCCUGAGGUUGUAUGACUGUACACACACACACACACACACACACACACACACACACACACAGA